GUGCAGGUUUCUGUGGAUGAUCGCCUUAAACAGCUUCAGGAAGCCCACAGAGAUUUUGGACCAUCCUCUCAGCAUUUUCUCUCUACGUCAGUCCAGCUGCCGUGGCAAAGAUCCAUUUCACAUAAUAAAGUGCCCUAUUACAUCAAGUAAGUUGAUUUUAAUUCUCCUUUAUGAUACCAAGAAAAUCAUGUUUUAUUGAUAACUUAAGAGGCUUCUCUCCCCAUAACUUUUAAAAAUAGAAUUCAGUCCUAUUAUCUGAAAGAAACUGUGAUAUAGUUAAUAUUAAAAAGAAACUACUUUUAACAUGAGAAUUAUAUUUUUCAUGUAUCAGAUUAGGGAUAUAGGUGUGUUUAGCUGAUAUAUUUUAAAGUAGAGAUUUAAAUAUUUGGAGACAGACAAUAAGCUAUGAUGGCCAUACUGUAUUCCAGCCUGGACAACAAAGCAAGAUCCAGUCUCUAAAAAGUAAA
rnacentral:lncRNA from 10 species